rnacentral:rRNA from 1 species
AUUGAACGCUGGCGGCAGGCCUAACACAUGCAAGUCGGACGGCAGCACAGAGGAGCUUGCUCCUCGGGUGACGAGUGGCGGACGGGUGAGUAAUGUCUGGGGAUCUGCCCGAUAGAGGGGGAUAACCACUGGAAACGGUGGCUAAUACCGCAUAACGUCGCAAGACCAAAGAGGGGGACCUUCGGGCCUCUCACUAUCGGAUGAACCCAGAUGGGAUUAGCUAGUAGGCGGGGUAAUGGCCCACCUAGGCGACGAUCCCUAGCUGGUCUGAGAGGAUGACCAGCCACACUGGAACUGAGACACGAUCCAGACUCCUACGGGAGGCAGCAGUGGGGAAUAUUGCACAAUGGGCGCAAGCCUGAUGCAGCCAUGCCGCGUGUAUGAAGAAGGCCUUCGGGUUGUAAAGUACUUUCAGCGGGGAGGAAGGCGAUGUGGUUAAUAACCUUGUCGAUUGACGUUACCCGCAGAAGAAGCACCGGCUAACUCCGUGCCAGCAGCCGCGGUAA